rnacentral:lncRNA from 1 species
UCAAGGCCUUCUUAAAUAGAUAUUAUAAAAAUCGUCUUUGAUAUCGCAUUUUUGCUAUAGAUCUAUAACUUUUGUCAACAUUUCAGUUGAUAUACAGGAAAAACAUAUUUUUACGGCAUCUUCUAUUCAUUCAUCUGAAAGAAAGUCACAGUCUGAAUCCGAAAUACUGUCAAUAAAGAAUAUAUUUUCCUUAAUGUAAUUUAUAAAAUCUCCCCUCAACUCACCGAUGACAUUGUAAUACUGAU